UUGACAACAGUGCUCAUCUUCUAAA
rnacentral:misc_RNA from 1 species